rnacentral:rRNA from 1 species
AGAACUUUGAAAAGAGAGUUAAACAGUACGUGAAAUUGUUGAAAGGGAAACGAUUGAAGUCAGUCAUACCAACGGGAAAUCAACCUCUUGAGUUUGGUCUUGUGGGUUUCGAAGAGUU